rnacentral:rRNA from 1 species
AAUAUCUAAACGGAGAGAUUNAAUAUUAUAUNUUACGAUAUAAUGUGCACUUCUUUCUUANUAAGACGCUGUGAUCCAUUAAAAAGUGGACCAUUCAAAUGGUUAUUUGGCUAUCAAUAGGCCGAUGUGAAGUUCAUUGAUGCAAGUAGCGAGAUCUUUUACGGUUUUGUAUGUUGUUUGAUGAGCUCAUCGUCACCUGUAUCUAUAGCUGUCUGAUGGAUUUUAAAGGUCAUAUCAUUGAUAUCUUUUGUGUAUCACUCAUAUUGUGAGAAUGGAUAUGUGCCCGAUCAACAGCGGUUAAAUUUGGGAUACCUUUUGGACCCGUCUUGAAACACGGACCAAGGAGUCUAUCUAGUAUGCGAGUAAAUGAGUAUUUUAAACUUAUUUGCAGAAAAAACUUGACUAUUCAAUGGGAUUACGUGUAUCAUUUUCAACGAUGAUAUUCCUCCAUCCCGGGGUAUUUUUAUCAACAUAUGCAGCAAUGUAUAUGGAAAAUAUACCAUGAGCAUACUGGAUAUGACCCGAAAGAUGGUGAACUAUGCCUGAUCAGGUUGAAGUCAGGGGAAACCCUGAUGGAGGACCGAAGCAAUUCUGACGUGCAAAUCGAUUGUCAGAAUUGGGCAUAGGGGCGAAAGACCAAUCGAACCAUCUAGUAGCUGG